AGUGAACGCUGGCGGUAGGCCUAACACAUGCAAGUCGAACGGCAGCACAGUAAGAGCUUGCUCUUACGGGUGGCGAGUGGCGGACGGGUGAGGAAUACAUCGGAAUCUACUUUUUCGUGGGGGAUAACGUAGGGAAACUUACGCUAAUACCGCAUACGACCUACGGGUGAAAGCAGGGGAUCUUCGGACCUUGCGCGAUUGAAUGAGCCGAUGUCGGAUUAGCUAGUUGGCGGGGUAAAGGCCCACCAAGGCGACGAUCCGUAGCUGGUCUGAGAGGAUGAUCAGCCACACUGGAACUGAGACACGGUCCAGACUCCUACGGGAGGCAGCAGUGGGGAAUAUUGGACAAUGGGCGCAAGCCUGAACCAGCCAUACCGCGUGGGUGAAGAAGGCCUUCGGGUUGUAAAGCCCUUUUGUUGGGAAAGGAAAGCAGCAGGUUAAUACCCCGCUGUUCUGACGGUACCCAAAGAAUAAGCACCGGCUAACUUCGUG
rnacentral:rRNA from 1 species